AGAGUUUGAUCAUGGCUCAGAUUGAACGCUGGCGGCAUGCCUUACACAUGCAAGUCGAACGGCAGCACGGGAGCAAUCCUGGUGGCGAGUGGCGAACGGGUGAGUAAUACAUCGGAACGUGCCCAGUUGUGGGGGAUAGCCCGGCGAAAGCCGGAUUAAUACCGCAUACGACCCUGAGGGUGAAAGCGGGGGACCUGCAAGGGCCUCGCGCAGUUGGAGCGGCCGAUGUCAGAUUAGCUAGUUGGUGGGGUAAAGGCCUACCAAGGCGACGAUCUGUAGCUGGUCUGAGAGGACGACCAGCCACACUGGGACUGAGACACGGCCCAGACUCCUACGGGAGGCAGCAGUGGGGAAUUUUGGACAAUGGGCGCAAGCCUGAUCCAGCCAUGCCGCGUGCGGGAAGAAGGCCUUCGGGUUGUAAACCGCUUUUGUCAGGGAAGAAACGCGCCGAGUUAAUACCUUGGUGUAAUGACGGUACCUGAAGAAUAAGCACCGGCUAACUACGUGCCAGCAGCCGCGGUAAUACGUAGGGUGCGAGCGUUAAUCGGAAUUACUGGGCGUAAAGCGUGCGCAGGCGGCCAUGCAAGACAGAUGUGAAAUCCCCGGGCUCAACCUGGGAACUGCAUUUGUGACUGCAUGGCUGGAGUGCGGCAGAGGGGGAUGGAAUUCCGCGUGUAGCAGUGAAAUGCGUAGAUAUGCGGAGGAACACCGAUGGCGAAGGC
rnacentral:rRNA from 1 species